CUAUGGGCGAUUUUGAAGAUCUUGGCCUAGCAAGAUGGCAGCGGGUUUUAAAAUGGGAUUCCCACGAAGUUAACACUUUUUCAGUGCAGAAGUAUGAACUUCCCAAGAAGAGGUUCUUGUGGGUGACUGAUAGAAUCAGUUCUCUUCUUGCUGACCUGCCAGUGUCUGUCCUGAGCCUUCUGAUGUCUCCCUGGAGAAAUGGAUGACCAGCCAUUCAGAGAAACAAAUGUACCGAGACAACUUUAAGAAAAGAACAUGUAUCUCCUUUUCCUACAAUAAAAAUGUGUACCAACUCUGAAACUACUUGUAU
rnacentral:lncRNA from 1 species